rnacentral:rRNA from 1 species
CACGGGGGGAGCAAGCGUUGUUCGGAAUCACUGGGCGUAAAGGGCGUGUAGGCGGUCAAGUAAGUGGAAUGUGAAAGCCCCCGGCUUACCCGGGGAUCUGCAUCCCAAACUGCUUGGCUUGAGUACGGGAGAGGAUAGGGGAAUUCCUGGUGUAGCGGUGAAAUGCGUAGAUAUCAGGAGGAACACCAAUGGCGAAGGCAGCUCGCUGGAACGGUACUGACGCUGAGGCGCGAAAGCGUGGGGAGCGAACAGG